GACGAGGGAUCCAAGCGUUGUUCGGAAUCAUUGGGCGUAAAGCGGGUGUAGGCGGCUUUAUAAGUCAGGUGUGAAAGCCCAGGGCUCAACCCUGGAAGUGCAUUUGAUACUGUAAAGCUUGAGUGUGGGAGAGGCUAGUGGAAUUCCAGGUGUAGUGGUGAAAUACGUAGAUAUCUGGAGGAACACCGGUGGCGAAGGCGGCUAGCUGGCCCAACACUGACGCUAAGAUCCGAAAGCGUGGGGAUCAAACAGG
rnacentral:rRNA from 1 species